AUGGCUCAGAGUGAACGCUGGCGGCAGGCCUAAUACAUGCAAGUCGAACGGCAGCACAGCAGAGCUUGCUCUGUGGGUGGCGAGUGGCGGACGGGUGAGGAAUACGUGGGAAUCUGCCCAGUCGUGGGGGAUAACGUAGGGAAACUUACGCUAAUACCGCAUGCGCCCUUCGGGGGAAAGCCGGGGGAAACCUUCGGGGCCUGGCGCGAUUGGAUGAGCCCACGUCGGAUUAGCUAGUUGGCGGGUAAAGGCCCACCAAGGCGACGAUCCGUAGCCGGUCUGAGAGGAUGAUCAGCCACACUGGAACUGAGACACGGUCCAGACUCCUACGGGAGGCAGCAGUAGGGAAUAUUGGACAAUGGGCGCAAGCCUGAUCCAGCCAUGCCGCGUGAGUGAAGAAGGCCCUCGGGUUGUAAAGCUCUUUUGUCCGGAAAGAAAAGCGCCGGGUUAAUACCCUGGUGUCCUGACGGUACCGGAAGAAUAAGCACCGGCUAACUUCGUG
rnacentral:rRNA from 1 species